CAAACUUUCACAUGUGGGCCUAGAGAUAUACUUAAAAGAUAUUUAGAUGCAAUGACUAUCAUUCAACGCUAUGAAAAACCAGAUAUAUUUCUAACUAUAACUUGUAAUCCAAAUUGGCCUGAAAUUACAGAAGAACUGAAAUACAAUGACAAAGUUCAAAAUCGACCAGAUUUAAUUGCACGUAUAUUUAGAGCAAAAUUAGAAGAAUUAAAAAAGGAUUUGUACAAAGAAAAUAUUUUUGACCUGGUUAUUGCUCAUAUAUACGUGAUUGAAUUUAAAAAAAGAGGGCUUCCUCAUGCACAUUUAUUGUUGAUUUUCAAUGCUGCCAAUAAAAUUUGUUGCGCUGAACAAGUUGAUGUGAUAGUGUCAUGUGAAACUUUAGAUAAGAAUAAAUACUUGCAUCUUCAUUCUGUAAUUGCAAAACACAAUAUGCACGGUCCUUGUGAAAAUCUUAAUCCAAAAAAUGUGUAUAUGUUGGCAAGCAGUGGUUGUAAAAAUAAAUAUCCUAAGGAUUAUUGUAACGGUACUAUAUUUAUUGAUAACUCAUAUCCAUUGUAUAGACGUUAUAAUAAUGGUAUUUCUAUUAAAA
rnacentral:lncRNA from 1 species